UUAAAUUGAAGAGUUUGAUCAUGGCUCAGAUUGAACGCUGGCGGCAGGCCUAACACAUGCAAGUCGAACGGUAACAGGAAGAAGCUUGCUUCUUUGCUGACGAGUGGCGGACGGGUGAGUAAUGUCUGGGAAACUGCCUGAUGGAGGGGGAUAAC
rnacentral:rRNA from 1 species